rnacentral:rRNA from 1 species
UACGAAGGGUGCAAGCGUUACUCGGAAUUACUGGGCGUAAAGCGUGCGUAGGCGGUUUGUUAAGUCUGCUGUGAAAGCCCCGGGCUCAACCUGGGAACGGCAGUGGAUACUGGCAAGCUAGAGUGUGUCAGAGGAUGGUGGAAUUCCCGGUGUAGCGGUGAAAUGCGUAGAGAUGUGGAGGAAUCCCGAUGGCGAAGGCAGCCCCCUGGGAUAACACUGACGCUCAUGUACGAAAGCGUGGGUAGCAAACAGG